rnacentral:rRNA from 1 species
GACGGGGGUCACGGUCGCUGCUCCGGCGCCAUGGCGGCGCGGGAUUCGAUUAGAGUUUGAUCCUGGUGGCCCCUGGCGGCGGGCCUAACACAUGCAAGUCGAGAGGAAGCCCCUGCUUGCAGGGGCGAGUAAAGUGGCGCACGGGUGAGUAACGCGUGGUUAAUCUACCCUCGGGUUUGGGAUAACGUCCCGAAAGGGGCGCUAAUACCGGAUAAGACCACGGUGUCCACGGGCACUGGGGUAAAAGUGGGCCUCUACAUGUAAGCUCAUGCCUGAGGAUGAGACCGCGUCCCAUUAGCUUGUUGGUGAGGUAACGGCUCACCAAGGCCGCGAUGGGUAGCUGAUCUGAGAGGAUGAUCAGCCACACUGGGACUGGAACACGGCCCAGACUCUUACGGGAGGCAGCAGUGAGGAAUCUUGCGCAAUGGGGGAAACCCUGACGCAGCCACGCCGCGUGGGUGAAGAAGGCCUUCGGGUUGUAAAGCCCUGUCAGGUGGGAAGAACCGCAGUCUGGCCAAUACCUGGACUGCUUGACGGUACCACCAAAGGAAGCACCGGCUAACUCCGUGCCAGCAGCCGCGGUAAUACGGAGGGUGCAAGCGUUGUUCGGAAUUACUGGGCGUAAAGCGCGUGUAGGCGGACCGGUAAGUUGGGAGUGAAAGCCCUGGGCUCACCCAGGAAGUGCUUCCAAUACUGCCGGCCUUGAGUUCCGGAGAGGUGGUGGAAUUCCCGGUGUAGAGGUGAAUUCGUAGAUAUCGGGAGGAACACCAGUGGCCGAAGCGACCACCUUGACGAGACU